UCACUGAUAGCUCAGUUGGUAAAGAAUCUACCUGCAAUGCAGGAGACCCUGGUUCGAUUCCUGGUUUGGGAA
rnacentral:tRNA from 1 species